rnacentral:rRNA from 1 species
AACGCGAAGAACCUUACCCAGGCUUGACAUACAGAGGACAGUUCCAGAAAUGGGAUCUCCCGCAAGGGUCUCUGAACAGGUGCUGCAUGGCUGUCGUCAGCUCGUGCCGUGAGGUGUUGGGUUAAGUCCCGCAACGAGCGCAACCCUUAUCAUUAGUUGCCAACACGUGAAGGUGGGAACUCUAAUGAGACUGCCCGGGUUAACCGGGAGGAAGGUGAGGAUGACGUCAAGUCCGCAUGGCCCUUAUGUCUGGGGCUACACACGUGCUACAAUGGUCGGUACAGAAGGCAGCGAAGCCGCGAGGUGAAGCAAAUCCCGAAAGCCGGCCUCAGUUCAGAUUGUAGUCUGCAACUCGACUACAUGAAGACGGAAUUGCUAGUAAUGGUAGGUCAGCAACACUACCGUGAAUACGUUCCCGGGCCUUGUACACACCGACUGUAC